rnacentral:lncRNA from 1 species
GAUAACGGUGGGAACGCUUGCACGAACCGUGUCCAAACAGGAGAGUGCUUAAUGCUUAGAUACGACACAUGUCAUAUCGACAGAGCGAGUACAGCCCAUUCUAUACUCGCAGUAGUCUUUUACACCCCCCGGGCUUCUUUGUUUCUUUUCUCUUCGUCGUCAUUUUAUCAAAAAUCUUUUUUGGAGCCAAGUUUUCGGAUUUUCUUCAAAUUGGAAAUCUCCAGUAAAUAAACACACCAAAAUUCAAACUCUUCCAAAUCCCACAAUCAAAUCUUCCGAAUUAAGAAAAUCCCACUCCCAAUUUCGUAACGCUAUUCUGUAAACGCCAUUCUAGCGUUGAAUUUUCAUGGUUUGUUCUUCUAUUUUCCUAUAAAAAUCUGCUGUAAGCUUAAGUUUUCAUCAAUGGUGGAUUUCUUGAGGUUCAUUGUGUUUUCGACUUCAUAAUACGCACGUUAAUAUUCAAUAUGAGUNNNNN